AUUGAACGCUGGCGGCAUGCUUUACACAUGCAAGUCGAACGGUAACAGGCCGCAAGGUGCUGACGAGUGGCGAACGGGUGAGUAAUGCAUCGGAACGUGCCCAGUCGUGGGGGAUAACGCAGCGAAAGCUGCGCUAAUACCGCAUACGAUCUAUGGAUGAAAGCGGGGGACCGUAAGGCCUCGCGCGAUUGGAGCGGCCGAUGUCAGAUUAGGUAGUUGGUGGGGUAAAGGCUCACCAAGCCAACGAUCUGUAGCUGGUCUGAGAGGACGACCAGCCACACUGGGACUGAGACACGGCCCAGACUCCUACGGGAGGCAGCAGUGGGGAAUUUUGGACAAUGGGCGCAAGCCUGAUCCAGCAAUGCCGCGUGCAGGAAGAAGGCCUUCGGGUUGUAAACUGCUUUUGUACGGAACGAAACGGUCCUGGUUAAUACCUGGGGCUAAUGACGGUACCGUAAGAAUAAGCACCGGCUAACUACGUGCCAGCCGCCGCAGUAACAC
rnacentral:rRNA from 1 species